rnacentral:rRNA from 1 species
UACGAAGGGUGCAAGCGUUACUCGGAAUUACUGGGCGUAAAGGGUGCGUAGGUGGCCUGUCGCGUCGGCUGUGAAAACUCGGGGCUCAACUCCGAGCUUGCAGUCGAUACGGGCAGGCUAGAGUUCGGCAGGGGAGACUGGAAUUCCUGGUGUAGCGGUGAAAUGCGCAGAUAUCAGGAGGAACACCGGUGGCGAAGGCGGGUCUCUGGGCCGAUACUGACACUGAGGAGCGAAAGCGUGGGGAGCGAACAGG